GGAGCCUCGGCGGCCGCCGGCUGCACGGAGCGCUGGAGCCCGAGCCGAGCCGAGCCCGAGCCCGAGCCGCCGCCGCCGCCGCCGCCGCCGCCGCCGCCGCCAACGCCGCGCUCGGCUCCCAGGCUCCCUCCCCGCGCGCCGGCCGGGGUGUGGGGGGCGGCGGGCCGGAGGGACGAGGGCGGGCGAGAGGCGCGCGCCGGGAUUGGCGCCGAAGACCGGACCCUCAGCCGCUGGGGGAUGUUGUAGGUCUCUGCUCUUGUAAGACUUUGGCUGCAGAAUCCCGGGAUAAGCCCUCCUAGGUGAGUUAUCUAUUUCCUGAAUGCUGUCUGUCUCCUACCUGCCUAUGC
rnacentral:lncRNA from 1 species